rnacentral:rRNA from 1 species
GACGAACGCUGGCGGCGUGCUUAACACAUGCAAGUCGAACGGUGAAGCGCCUUCCUUUUUGGUGGGUGUGGAUGAGUGGCGAACGGGUGAGUAACACGUGAGUAACCUGCCCCCUUCUUCUGGAUAACCGCAUGAAAGUGUGGCUAAUACGGGAUAUUCUGGGUCUGUCGCAUGAUGGGUCUGGGAAAGAUAUUGUUUCGGUGGGGGAUGGGCUCGCGGCCUAUCAGCUUGUUGGUGGGGUGAUGGCCUACCAAGGCGGUGACGGGUAGCCGGCCUGAGAGGGUGGACGGUCACACUGGGACUGAGACACGGCCCAGACUCCUACGGGAGGCAGCAGUGGGGAAUAUUGCACAAUGGGCGCAAGCCUGAUGCAGCGACGUCGCGUGAGGGAUGGAGGCCUUCGGGUUGUGAACCUCCUUCGCCAGUGAAGCAGGCCUGCCUCGUUUGUGGGUGGGUUGACGGUAGCUGGAUAAGAAGCGCCGGCUAACUACGUG